GGGACCUUUCCCACACCUGUGUGGGGCUGCUCUGAGUGCUACUGCAGCCCCACAGUGUGGGGGAUUAAUGCUAAUGGGCUCCUCUCAGCCUCGCUGGAACCAUGGCCCAUGAGGGACAGAAGAAGCUGUUGUGGGCCUGCACACAGCCCUGGCUCUCCCUGCUCCUGCAUGGCUGAUAUGGAGGUGAGGCAAGGCCCUGGCAUGCCAAGCAUACAGAGCCCGAUCCAAAAUCAGCCAGCUCUGGGAUGGAGAGCAAGCAAGCAAGGUAGUGAUUGUGCUUCACAGAAGCGAUGGUGGGAAGCUGACAGAAGAUACUGGCAGGAAAUUCAGGAGAAAAGGCUUUGGGACCAAGACCCGCAGCUGGCAGGGCACCAGCUCCAUCCCUUGAAGCACCCAAGGUGAAGAAAGCCCAUCAGAUCAGUCUGAUGCACUCUGCAAUUCAGUGCUAUGCCUAACAUGCAGGAAGAGUACGUUUCAUUUGCAGAGCAACACUAAGGUGGCUGCAGGUGAUUUUUUAUGCAAGAGCAGGAACAAAGCACCCCCAAAAAUGUGCAAAGAUACUCAAAUAAAACUGAGCUUUCUGAAAGCCUGUGCACUCCACCCUCAGAUAUCCCCUUCUCCUCGACGUGAAGUGCUGCAGGAGAAACAAGCCACCUGGGCCCUGCUCACCCUACACACAGCCUGGAUGGAGGAAUGUAACCUAAGUCUGUCACUAGUUAUUCUCAUGAAUUUGGAAAGUCAUCACACUGGAGUUAACCAAUUUGUAUUUGCCUUUCUUAGCUCUUUCAGACUUCCCUCUGCCUUUUGGAUUGAAAGAGCAGAUAUGAAGGAGAAAAGGAGACGCUGUCAGAUGGAGGAAGCACAUCACCCACAGCCACCCACUGCAGACAGUGACCCCCACACUCACAUCCAUCUAUUGACGUGGCAGUAAAAGUGGCACUUGGAAGAACAGGGAAUUUGUUUCUUACGGCACAAGGCUGUGACUACAUAGUCACUGCUGCAGACACAACAUUUUACAGGUACCAGCCAACAUUUUUCCUCUCCAUCUUUCUUUAAUUCUUUGACACUGUUCCACAGUAGGGUCUUAGUAAUGGUCCACAGCCCAUCUGUGCCCACUGCUACAUUUGGCAGAUCUAAUUGCUGAAUGACCCUCCACCAUGUACUAAGUUCUCAGAUGAUUUUGUGUGCCUAGUGCUUCAUGAGGCAAUUUCAAAGACCACGGCCUUUUGGAGAGUAAGCUUAAAAGAAACAGCUGUAGGCCUAAGUGCCAUCUGAAACCCUUCCUGGUGCUGAAUGCUAGACUGGGAAUCUGACACAGACAUAUCCUGCUUAGAUUUUUCUCCAGUAUUUCCUAAGCUUCACCUGUUUGGAAACAAAUUCAAACAGCCCUUCUUGCUACAGUCAUUAGCACUUCAAGGCCCAUCAAGGACUGAGGUAUAGCACAUUUUCUAAACAUAUUAAGAGCAUCAUUUAACCUGGGGAAUGGCUUUGGUUCAGGAAAAGUCUGAUGGGCUUUUACCGUGUUACUGUCACAGAUGGAAGAAGUCGGACCAUCUAACAUACUCCAGACUAAAGAGCUUUGGUUGGCAGAAGAAAGCUGGCUUCUGCCAGGCUGAAUAUUCCAUGGAUUUACUACCUGCAUCUCUUUAAGGAACACCAGACUCUGGGCAAGCAAUUCAACCUUUUAUCUGUUCAGUAACCCCUCAUCGUGUUUUUUAGCAGAAGACCUAGAAACUCUGCAUUUAAAUUUGCUCAUGGCUGCAGUCCCAUGGAAUUUGAAAGACCUGUUGUAUGUAAUUUCUAAGGCAUUAACCCAGAUCCUGCUGGGAAUCAAUCCACAUAUGUAA